rnacentral:misc_RNA from 1 species
AAGUCGUAACAAGGUUUCCGUAGGUGAACCUGCGGAAGGAUCAUUAAUAUAUAAUCCAAACCAAAAAUCAUAUUUAUAAUAUAUAUUAUAUUUAUUUUAAAAGGUAAUUGUUCAAAUAUAUUUUAAUAAAUAUAUAAUAACUUUUAACGAUGGAUCUCUUGGCUCUU